rnacentral:lncRNA from 1 species
UUCAGGAUUCACUUUUGUGUGCUCAGCCUUGGAUAGCCACAAGGAGGCGACCAUGGAACCAAGGUUUCCAGCCACCUGCAAGCCCCUCAGUCUUUUCUCAGAAAAGCACGGUGGCGGUGGCAGAAGAUGGCACGGCUGUCACCAGCUGUCCCCGUACAACAGGCAAACACUCCCUGAUUCCAGCUCUGGGGGACUCCUUGUAGGAAAAACGGGACGACUCUGAAGGGUGAGACUUCUCCGAGCCCUUCCAGCUGGUAUACAUUGCACACAGUGGAACAUACAUUUCUGAGCACG